rnacentral:misc_RNA from 1 species
GAGAAUCGCCAAUUCAAUUCCGACUCCAAUCUGAAAUCUGAAAGUCGGUUCAUGUCUGGUGGAGAAAAAUAUGCUCUUCCAAUGAUGGAGGCUCCAUUAUUGACCCGCGCACAGUCAGGCCUAAAUGAGUGGACCCUGCCUAUUUAAUGUGUGAUUUGUGACAUCAGCUGCCUUAAAUCAUCCCAUUCAUUGUUUUGAAAAUUCGCCUCCUCUGACUGUUCAAAAUGCUUCGUCCACUCCCUGGUCUAAUGGCUCCUUGC